UCUCGCACUCUCUCUCUCGUUAAUAUAGUCUGCCGGAGAUUGAAGUCCACCGGAGUUACGAAACACCACUCACAAAAACUCAAACCUCAUCUGCACACGUCACUGGAACUCCAAGGCGACGUCGGAACGACUCAAAGUUCACCAGAGAAACCCGAAGCCACUGGAGCCGCACGGGAUCUACCGUAACUCGUUCCUUCUUCAUCUUCGUUUUAAACGAAGAACACACCGGAGCUCUCGACGAACGCGACUUGACCCAAUUCGGUAUACGUUUCUUUUCAACCAACUCGUUUCAUAUAUGUCGAUAAACGCUCUCGUUCAUUCUCUUGGAUUCUAUCCAAUCUUGCUCGUACGUUCUUACAAGAAAGCGCAACGCAAUCAAUGUUGAUUGAUCAAGAUACAAGAAAACAAGCUAGGACGGCUUUAGAAACCCAUUCUAGAAAUAAACUAUUGUUUGAAUUUAUGUUUGAAUGUUUGAAACUUUGUAUUGUCCUUUGGAAUUUAAUAAAAUGAUUUAAUUCAUAUUGUC
rnacentral:lncRNA from 1 species